ACGAGACCCCAGGUCAGGCAGGGACACCCGCUAAGUUUAAGCAUAUCAAUAAGCAGAGG
rnacentral:rRNA from 1 species